GGASSYAUCCAAGCGUUAUCCGGAUUUAUUGGGUUUAAAGGGUGCGUAGGCGGCUUAUUAAGUCAGGGGUGAAAGACGGUGGCUCAACCAUCGCAGUGCCCUUGAUACUGAUGAGCUUGAAUGAACUAGAGGUAGGCGGAAUGUGACAAGUAGCGGUGAAAUGCAUAGGUAUGUCACAGAACACCGAUUGCGAAGGCAGCUUACUAUGGUUUUAUUGACGCUGAGGCACGAAAGCGUGGGGAUCAAACAGGAUUAGAUACCCUGGUAGUCCACGCCCUAAACGAUGAAUACUCGCUGUUAGCGAUAUACAGUUAGCGGCUAAGCGAAAGCGUUAAGUAUUCCACCUGGGGAGUACGCCCGCAAGGGUG
rnacentral:rRNA from 1 species